CACGGCCGCACAUGGAGGGCCAGGGCGAAGACACGGCCACGGUGGUGCAGCCUGUGGUCCACAUCGCCGGCAAGAAGAACCACCACGAGGUCGGGUCACGGUGGUGCAGCCUUUGGUCUUCAUCGUCUACCACUCCGCCGUCUUCGGCAACCCCCACCACUUCCGCGUCAAGAAUACAAAGAUCCAGAAAUUUUCACAUACCUAGAGGACCUCGCCUUCUUGGUGCUCCUUGCUUACAUAAGGUACUCCUAGGGAAUUGGUGCUCCAAGUAUGGGUAUUAUGAUCCUUUGCUAUCUGUGAUGGGCAAAGGGAGAGUAAGGAGGGGGGGUGAGGGAUGGCAGAGGAGGUUAACAUAUAUAGAUGCACCUAAUGCAUCAUCGACCUGUUACAACGUCAACAUCGACUGGGUACGAGCGGCCGUAGGUCACAAGGGGGCGUGGAACUGUUGCAGACCAUUUGUGACAGAGCAUAAUCCAGCGACUUUGCCCAGCUCGGUACAUCCUCUACACGACUACAUCGUAGCAACUUGAAGAAAAUUAUUCCUUUUUUUGCUUCCAAGACCUGAUAAUCUCCUCGAUGAUGUAUCGAGGUGCCGUGACCCGGCCUCAAAGGCAGGGCCUGGGCGAAGAGGUAUCCCCGACGGCCAAGACAAGGCCACGGUGGUGAAGACCGUGGUGAGACAGAGCUGACUCCAGCGAAUUUGACCAGCCAGUGCAAAUGUGUCCCUUGAUCAACUAAACUGGGUGAAUGUAAAAUCAUGGGGAGCCUUGAAGCCUUCUAAUGCAAAUAAUGCUGGAAAUGAUCGUUGGAUUUCAUUAACACUUGAACAUGAGGAACACAUAAAAGAUAAUCAGCGUUUAUUUGCAAGGAUGGAAUUGAAGGAAUCGGCGAGAGAGGCAGAUAAAGGAGAACUUGGAACUUAUAUAAUAUAUGCAAGGUACGUGCCGUAUGACAAUCAUAUUUUUAUUGACUACUCGCUAGCUGGAAUGUGUUUUUUACUACGAAGAAAACCUCGUAUAGUAUAGCAGUGCGUGUAUGGAUGGAGUUAUACUAUACGAGGUAGUAUAUGUUGCGAGGCACUGAAUAUCUGAAAACAUCACCUGCCGGUCUAUGAGUACGUUGUGAACCUAUCAUGGUCUAACACAAAAGUAUUCCGGUGCAUCUGGAGCACCAAACCUGGUCCAAACUAAUAUGGCCUUCUUCCCGUAAAAUUUAGAUGGACGGAAGGAUAGAUAUAUAACCAACAAAGCUAGGGGAUGCCAACAUCAAUCUAUAGCUAGUGGAUACCAACCAACAUAAAUAUAAGAGAAAAUGUCAACUGAUCAUCUGAUCAGCACGGGCAUUGAAACAGAUAUUUCCUAGAAAGCAACUAAACAUCAUUUUAUUAUAAGGUAUUUAUCGAUGCAGAAGUCCUCCUUAGCCACCAAUAAAUCUCAACGCUACUCUAACUUGCUCUGGAAUGUUAUCCUUUGCUUCGUUAUCCCUAACCAUCAACAGCUGGACCAUUAGUCGCUUCCUGAGACUUUGUGGAUCCUACAAAUUGUGCAUAAACAAAGUCAGAAGAUAUAUUUAGCAAAUAUAUGCAAUCUGUAACCUCAUUACAAAAUCACUUACGUCAGUCCUAGGCAUGUUAUGAACCAUGUCAUUACCGAUGGUUUCAUACAGAUGGGCCAUCUCCUGUAGAACUUUGAAUCCGGAGUCCAUACUGUCACCAAAAAAACAUAUUGUAUUAGCUAUAUUAGAGCACGCACUAAUAUGCAAGCCAAAUUUAGAAUAGUACCGCCGAGGUGAAACAUGAAUGUUAUCUUGUUCGGGCCAUUCCACAAGUUGGCUGUUCCUAUCAGGGGCCUCCUGUUGCAAUACAGAGCUGAAUUCUUGCUUCACUAAAAGGGCUUCCCUCUGAAGUUCAGUGCCUUGGGGGUCCUCCUCAAAAUGAAACACAUCCUGGUUCGAAUAAUCAAUAACGAUAGUCCUCUCCAUUUCCAUGUUCACUGCUAAAAGACCGUAGGACGAAUCCACGAGUGACAGUGGUAGAAGAUACUGCAUUUGGUAGACAAAGGUAAAUGUCAAACAAAGUAACCAACUAAUUUGUAAGAAUGAGAACACUUACAAUUGUAGGGGUGUGAAACACGUCGUAUCUUGGAAAAGGCUCAAGCACAACAUUGUUAAUCAGUGCAUUGGUGCGCUGUUCUUGGCUUAACCAAGUCUGCCUUAGCGCCCGUGCUUGCACAUGGAAUCCCAAAUUGAGAAAAUGUGUCUUUCCAACAGAGUUGGUGCCUGCGCUCCUCUCUGCUGCGUCGGUAGUAAUCUUACGCACAGCUAGAUUGAAGCAUAAUGGAUGGACAAGUCCAUCUCCUAGGAUGGUGUCUCGGAUGAUCCGUAGGCUAAUCUCGAUAGGGAAUGGGCGCGGGCUCCUAAUCGAGAUUGUGCUGUAAAAAAUGAAGAUCAAGGUUCAUACCAAUGAUAUGACUUCAAGUAAUCCUAAACUCAAACGAUAAAACUGUGUUGCUGUCUAUAAGAUAUGAAUAAUUAAACAAUAGUAUAUAUCACAUUAAAUGACCUAAAAGAUAUUGUAAUCUCUACCAAGUUAAGUAUUUUAAUAUUAUGUACGGGCAAUAAACUAACAGAUUGAAGUGUUUUCGUAGUAGUACAUGGACCUGCAUAAAAAUUGUUGUAGAUUUUGGAUGAAAAAAUUCAACAUGUAGUUUAUAGCUUGUUCAACAUUGUUGUAAAAGGUGUUAGACCCCAUAGUUUUGGGCCACAGUUUCAUACGUAUUUCGUUUCAUACUUAUCAGCUAUUUAUGUUAGACGCCGCAAAACACUGGUUUUAGACACAAUUUACCAAUACAAAUAUAAUAUCUGGUAACAACCAUUAAUAUGUAUUUAUAUACUUGUAUAAGAAAAAUAACUACACAUUCAGCCUUUGUAACAGACGUCUGAACUUAGACAAAGACCACGUGAUCCUAACCAGGGUAUAUCUUCUAAUCUAAAUGUAAAGUAUAUAUGUACAGGGCAGGAAGACUUUUUAUGGGGGUAUAUCUUCUAAAUGCAAAGUAUACAUGUACAUGGCAGUGGACUUAGACGAUGAAGAGCAAAAAAUAUUAGAUCUAUCGGGCCGUGAGAACUUACUCUAGUAGUUCUUCGUCUGAGGAAAGUGCUAUGAAAUCGUACACGUAGUUGACGGCGUGUCGCACUCCCCCAAAAUUCGCCAUUGCUUCCAUUGACGGGGCAAAAACUCGGUCGUACAACUGGUAAAGCGAGAGAGGAAGGAGCCCGUAGGAUUUUAUUGAGUAUAUAUGAGGCCGUGGGGAAUUGUGCGACAACAGUUAGGAAGGUGCACCCUGUCCUUCCUUAUUUGCAUGUUUCCAUAAAAAAAUACUAUCAACAAAAUCGGCAAGAUAUUUGUUUUGAUUAGACUAUGCAAAAAACCAGUAACAGAUUAAAAGUUGCCUAAAUUAUGUCUCCCUUACCCCAUAACUUUCCCAAAUGAAAAAAAUCAAAGAAACCGGACUUACUCUGUCGUGAGGAAGUGCAACACUCGAUGCCCACCCAGAAAGCGUUGUUGGCUGCGUGUUUUGUGGGGCCCAGUGUUUGUCCCCCUCUAAAUAAAUCUCCGACCCCUGAUUUGAAUGGUGGGGCCCUGAUUUAUUUCCCUAUCAAAUUUGCCCCCCUGAUUUCAACUGUGGGGGCCGGUGCCUUUCCUCUAAUAAAUAUUUUCCCCACAUUUCUUUUGUGGCGGGAACCAAGCUUACCAUUAACCAGACAGCUCAGCAGAGUCGCUAGCUACAAGAGCGUCCACAAACUCAGGUGCUUGAUCCUGCCACAUGACUGGGGCUAACGCAUCCAUUACUUUAUUACACAUCCUGGGGCAAAACGAAAAUACCACUUGGUUAAAGUUUAAUCUAGCAAAGAAUAUUAUUUCUUUGAAUAACACUCCAUUGGCAGCGAGGUCAAGGUCGCUGGUGUUAACAGCCUGGACCUAGUUGAGUGAAUCUGUCUGAGCUUGCACUCCCGUCAUAACCCAGCCGCCUCGGGAAAAAUUAUCAGGAAAGCGCUACACGCUAAUCAUGCAUUUGGCCAACAAUUAUUUAGAUAUCUACAUCACAAGCGUUAGGCUUUAAUUCUUUAGUGUGAGGAAAUAGCCCAGAUGGUCUGCCCUGGCCCACUUAAACACAGGGACAUAUUGUGGUUCCCCUACUAAAGAUCGGUAUGUGCAUAGUCUACUGAUGCCACCUCUCCCCCUCGUCCUCUAUCCUUGAUGCAUCAUGGCGCCUCUCUCCCUCAUCCUCUAUCGAUUGCAACACUGAUCGGGAACCGGAAUGUGAAGCUCGAUUUCUAGCUUGAGAAGCUAGACCCCUCGCCGGAAUAAGUUGCUUUGUUGUCGGAGCGGUUGAAUCCUCGUAGGGUAGGAGAUAUGAUUGUGGGUGAGAUUGUUUUUUAGCUAUCAAAUGUGGCUCAAUGAUCAUUGACGUCAGACAAACAGAAAUUACCAAAACAACAAACAUAACAGCAAAACCAACUUGUAGUAGUACCAAAACUCCAAUUAGUUCUUAAAUAUUGUAAACCCAAAAACAAAAAUUAUAGUUUCAAUCCAUAACCAAACAUGACAAGAUGAUUGAAGUAUUCCUGACGGUUCUGCAUGCAUAGAAGCAUAUUUAGUUGUUCAAAACCCUCAAGGCCGCCGUAAUCUCCUGAGGGAUGUUUCCAGCAGCUAGAUUGUCUUUGACCAUGAGCAUCUGGACUGCCACUUGGCUCCUGAGCAUAAUUGGAUCCUAGAAACAAUGAAACAAAUUCACCAUGAAAUGCCGAAGUGGUUGGAUUAUAAAUGGUACAUUAAAACUCGUCAUAAAGAUAAUUACUGUAGUGUUCAUCCAGGUCAUGCUACGCAAAGAACCUAGCUGGUGGGCCAUCUCUUGUAGAACUAAGAAACCCGAGUCUUUGCUGUGACAAACAGAAUAAAAACUUGAGAUUUCUACAUACUGCAUCUUAUUCAUCUGAAAAAUUUAUUAAAUUACCGCCGAAAAUUGAAUGACAUGUUGUCUUGUCGCCAAUCCAUGAGUUCGGUGUUCCAUUCAAGGACCCUAGCCUGCAACACUUCAUUGAGUUCUUGCUUCAAAAUAGUGAUUUCCUUCAUCAUCUCUUUGUUGUGAGAGCUAUUUCCCACUUGUCGUACGUCUAGUGAUGGAUUAAAUACGAUAACCCUUCUCCUCAUCCGAUUUACCACAAGUAGACCAUACGAGGAAUCCGGGAUAGACAACGGAAGUAGAUACUACAUAAGGUCAACACACGUUAAUUGCUAUCAGGAAAGAAAAAAUAAUUUAGGAAUUAAAAACUCUUACAAUUGUGGAGUUGAACACAUCAUAUCGAGGAAAGGGCUGUAGAACAGCAUUGUUGAUCAGCAUCGAGGUGCGCUGCCCUUGCGGCAUCCAUGAAUACCUUAGAGCUCGUGAUUGAGCAUGGAACUGCAAGUCAAAAUAAUGUUUUCCUCCAACCAUGUUGGUGCCUGCAUGCCUCUCUACUUCAGCGCUAGCAAGCUUACGAACAGCGAGAUUGAAGCAAUCGGGAUGUAGACUUGCGGACGUUACAAAUAGUGUGUCCUUCAGCAUUCUGAGGCUGAUUUCGAUCCGGUACGGUGUAUCGCUUAUCCAGAUUGAGCUGCACGUAAAAAUACAUAAAAAUGGUUAGCAAUAUGAGUGGUACUUUAAAACAUAAAAUUGUUCAUAUGGUAACAUUUUCUAGAUAAUCUAAUAGCUAUGAGCAGAACGUAAUAUUUUGAUAAACUAUAGAGCAUGAAAAUUGUUUCAGCACCUUCUAGCAAAAGCUAAAAUUAAAUAAUAACUUAUCUGUAAGAACAAUAUUAAUUUGUUAGAAAUUAAGAGCAGGAAAAUUUAGGUAGCACCCAUUAUACCAAGUUUGCUGGCUGUUCAAAAACAAUAUUAAAUUGUUGUACAAUAUAGUAAGGACAUUAAGUUGUUCAACAUUUGUACUGCAAAUAAUAUUAGAAUUUUGUUAUUCAUUACAUACUGUAGAUGUGCAACGGAAAUACUGCCAAAACAUUUAACAAAAAAUAAUUUUGUACUGUUGGCCGCAAAAAGUAAGAUUUAAUCUAAAGAAAAACAAAUCAAGCAAUAUCAUACUCCUAUAUCAAACUGAGUCUGCUGUGUACGACCUAGUUCUAAUAAGAUUUCUUUAGAGAAAAUAAACAUACAAUACCAUAACUUACUCUAGUGUCUGCUCAUCAUGAAUGCCGUUCAUGAAGCCGAAUAUAUAUCCGAGUGCAUCUUCCACGAAAUGCCUUGGUGGGGGCAGAAGAUGCAGGGGUGCGGGCAAAUCCUCCUGGGGGUCGGCCACAGCAUCGUGUAUCUGGAGGGCAGCCUCAUUGGGGUCGGGGGCAGCGGCAUCCAGGGGCCUGGGCACAGAAACCUCCUCGUAAGUGCGCGCUGCCACAACCUGGACCGCCGGCGCAUUGUUUCCAAUGAUGGGCUCCAUCGCUGAUCGAUACGCGUGAGUGAUCGUUCUAUGACUAGUGUCUGCUCAUCAUGAAUGCCGUUCAUGAAGCCGAAUAUAUAUCCGAGUGCAUCUUCCACGAAAUGCCUUGGUGGGGGCAGAAGAUGCAGGGGUGCGGGCAAAUCCUCCUGGGGGUCGGCCACAGCAUCGUGUAUCUGGAGGGCAGCCUCAUUGGGGUCGGGGGCAGCGGCAUCCAGGGGCCUGGGCACAGAAACCUCCUCGUAAGUGCGCGCUGCCACAACCUGGACCGCCGGCGCAUUGUUUCCAAUGAUGGGCUCCAUCGCUGAUCGAUACGCGUGAGUGAUCGUUCUAUGAGGUGUCUUGGCAAUUAAGAUGUCUAUGCAGCAUAUAUAUAAACGGAUAUAUUUUUAAUGCUUUUUAUUGCCUGCCAAAUAUAUCAAGUCAUUUUUAAGACGUAGAUGAUUCUUUCUAAUUAUAAAAAAAACGUGACGGGGGCGUAUCAGAUCUUUCUCCUUUUUGCUAGGCCUGUAAGGGGGAUUGUGAUGCAUUCUUUGCACGGUGUUUUUUUCCUUAUUUCAUAAUUGGCCUUCCUAUGUGCACUUGACUCCCCCUUCUCAAUCACCGACAUGCUUUUGCGGCGCUGCAUGCGCUUCACUCAUAUAUUUUCAUUCAUUGUUUCUCUGUCCUCCACCGUUAAAUCGUCAUUUUUCUUCUGAUGGCAUGCGUAGCUACUUGCGUUUUUCUGCUCCCUUUGCUUGUUUGUUAAGUUAUGUUUCCUCUCAUUGUCUCUUUGCCUCCUUGCUAGAAUAGUGUCCUGAAUGACAGAUGCGUCUACAGUUGAAGGGGGACAUGUUGCUCCCUCAUUCAUUGAUUCUGUAACACUAGAGCUUUUCAUAUCGUCUGGUUCAAUCAUAUUUUUCAAAACAUAGUUACACCAGAUUGAUUUAUCGGCUCUGAGGAGUGCCAUCUUGAUUAGUACGGCCUGACAACGAAAGGGAUACUGAACGUAAGCGUAUACCUGAAGUAUCAGAUGGACGUUUGUUUUGAUCUUCGAUACGCUUAGCCUUGUUCCUCCAAUAAGCAGCUCGCCGCAGGGCGUUUCUAUGAUCUCUCUUGCGUUCAUCUUCUGUUUUCUGCUCUGUUACUUGUGUGUCAUUCAAAUUCACAUCUGGAUACAUUUCACACAAUCCCGAAAAUGAGUGAGCAUACCAAUGAAAUUUUCGCAAUUGCUGCUUUAGUAGGAAAACGAUUGAUUACCAUGUAGAUCGUUGUAAUUAAAGAUCCCAGAUGAUAUAGUAGUUGUAUCAGGAAAUUCUGACGCCUCAUACUCGAUUGAGGUAUAGUUAGAGCUAGUGGGGUUGUCUGUUGAACCAGACAAUCCAAACAUAUUAAUGCUGAAUUAGUAAGACGGUUCUGACCAUAAUGGUUAAAUCGUAAUAAGCUUACCUGAUAAAUUAAGGGUCUGUGCAUGUUCAACUUGGACAUUAUGUUGUUUCUUUCGCCGAUAGGAAGCCCUCCUCGGAGCGUUUCUAUGGUCUCUCUUGCGUUCUUCCGUUUGUUGCUCUGUUUCUGUGGUGUCAGGCAAGAUUACACUCAUAUCUAGUGUCAUUCAGAACAUUCCCGAAAAUUAGAUAAUAAAACAGAUACAUGCAAGCAAUGUUUACCUUGAAGCUCGUUAUCAUUGAUUAGUCCAGAUGAGACAACAGUUGAACUCGGAAAUGUUGUAGUGCUGGUUGGGUUGUCUGGUGAACCAGAUAUUACAAAACAUAGUAAUGCUUAGUGGUUAAGAUGGUACCGAGUACAAUGUUUUAACAUUUUAAAAUUACCUGAUAAUAGAAGGGUCAGUGCAUUUUCAUCUCGCACAUUGGGUUGAUUUUUCCGCCGAUAUGAAGCCCUCCUCAUUGCAUUUAUAUGGUCUCUCUUGCGCUCUUCUUCCGUUUUAUGCUCUAUACGUCUGGUAUCAUUCAAGAUUACAUUUGCAUCUGGUGUCAUACAGGGCAAACCCCAAUAUUAGAUAAUAUAACAGAUACAUGAGAGGCAUUGCUGAAUGAGUAGGCAAAAUAUGUUUACCUUGUAGCUCUAUGUCAUUAAUGAGACCAGAAGUGACGGUAGUUGUACCAGGAAAUGUUGACGCGUCAUGCGAGAUUGAUGUAUAGUUAGAGCUAGUUGGGUUGUCCGGUUAAACGCGGGUGUCCAAUCAUAUGUCAGCUUAACGGUUUAGAUGGUACGGACCCUCAUGUUAAAACAAUAUAAGCUCACCUGAUGAAUGAAGGGCAUGUGCAUUUUCAUCUCGCCGACUGAAAGCCAUUUCCAGUGCGUUUAUUUGGUCUAUUUUGCAAAAAUCUUCUGUCAUUCGUGUAUAUAGUUUGAUGCCAUUAAAGUCGCCGAAUGAGAAAACAAAGACUUUGCAUCUAAUGAACAUGGAGAUUAUGAUAUCAUAUUACCUUCUUUAUCUCUCACACAACGGGCAUCGGAUGCGCCCGUAGCUUCAUGAGGGUAUGUUGCAUCAUUAGGCAAGACUGAGGUAUAGUCCGAGCUAGCUGAAUUAUAUGAUUCAACAAGCUAGGUCAGUAAUAAUUAUUUAAGUUGCGUAAAAAGUGACUGCCUUCGUGCAAACACAGCAUAGACGGGACGUGGAUCAAUUUACCAACCAUGAUAAUCUCGUCUGGGUUUAUUUAUCUCCCUGUCUUCGAGAACAUUUGUGAUAUCACAUAGAGAUUGGCAACGGGCUUGUUAAGGAGUAUUAGUAUUGGUCUAGGAGUCCUUAUUAGUCUAUGUUUAGUUUCCUUGCACCUCAAGUCAUGUGUAAUAUAUAUAUGCCCCUUGGGCCUUCAAUAAAGAUAAGUUGCUUUCCUAACAUGGUAUUAGAGCCUAGGUUUAGGUCUCCGGACGCUGCAACUCGUCCUUACGAACCAAUUUUUUUUUCUCCACCUAUAUCGAUCUGUUCUGGGUCGAUCUCGUCUUCUGCCAUCGUUCCCAAGCUGCGUGGGCACCUACCACGUACCACGGAGCACCUGCCGCCCAGCUGCUUCGGUCGAUCCAAGCCGUGAUGCCCGUGACGCCGGUGACGUGUGCCUGCCCAGCCGUGAUCGCCCGCAAGGCAGGAUGCCUCGACCUGGUUGGCUACGGCGCCGCGUACACACGCGUGCGCCAGAUCAAGUUACUACCCCGUUCCAAUCCAAAUCGAGGCCGCCUCAUCCAGCUAAGGCCGAUGACGGCUGCUCCGCCCGCGUGUACUCCUCCCGGUUGGCUGCUGCUCUGCUCCCGCACGUCCAUCUGCGUGCUGCUACUGUUCCCGCUGCCCUUUGCUGCUCUGCUCAGCUGCUGCGUUCCUGCUAGCCUGCUAGUUGCUGCGCAUGUGUUGAGUAAAAAAAAAGCUUCACGUUCCUUCUGCUGCCACUGCUGCUAGUCUUUUAGUCAUUGCAUCUAGUCUACUAUGCUUUCUAGUUUUCUUUGUUUUUCACUGCGUCCACCAAAUCCGUUGAUAUUUUGUGUUUCUCAUGCCAUGCGAGUCCAACAUACCUUUGUCCGUCAGCCUUUUUCUGGUCAUUGUCCUCUGUAUAGGAUUUCUGUGGCCUCUCUUUGCAUUGUUGAUCUAAGCCCAUUCUCUUGCCGCCGAGCUUCUUUCGCCGUCGGUUUUCAUGGGCCAUGAUUCUUUAAGCAAUGCUUCUUCUCUUGAUGUGCCAUCUUCUUUCGACAACCCAUCUUCUCUUGAUACUUCUUUUGUAUCUUCUAUUGAUGCGGUGUCUUUCUCUGAUGUGCCAUCUCUUCAUUAUCCCCUUUGGCGACUCGACAGGUUUUGAAGACUCUUCAUGCUACGGCGACACUCUCAAGACAUGGAUCUGGAUUAUCAUUUUUUUAGUAUUACACUUCUUCAAAUGCAAUGCUAUUGCAUACGCUUUGCAUUUGAGGGGGGGUGUUAAGGAGUAUUAGUAUUGGUCUAGGAGUCCUUAUUAGUCUAUGUUUAGUUUCCUUGCACCUCAAGUCAUGUGUAAUAUAUAUAUAUAUGCCCCUUGGGCCUUCAAUAAAGAUAAGUUGCUUUCCUAACAGGGCUGACUACCCACUGAAACUAUGUUUAUCCAAACAACCUGGCUUGAUAUUGCGAUAAGCCGCCCGCCUACGAGCGUUGAUAAGAUCCCUAUGAUCUGAUGUGCAACAUAGUAUUAGCAUCAUAUCAUCUCUAAUCAAGGAUGUAGGUUAAUACAACGUAUCUUGUGCAAAAUAUAUAUAUGAACAACAAACUAAGAGCAGCGAUCAACAUCACGUUAAUCAACUCACUAGUUUUAGCAAGUACAGGCUGAUUCUCAUCUUGUAAGUUGACAAUAUCAUUAUCUUUUUUCUUCCGAUAAGCAGCACGCUUCCGUGCAUUGUACUGCUCCCUUGCUUCCUCAGCGUAUUUUCUACAUUCAUUAAUUAAAGAUCCAGUUUCAGCCUUUUCGUAAGCUGUGUUGUCUGCAUCAUGUUGUCCAGGUAUUACCCAUUCUGAUCCAUAUGUAGAGCUCGAGUCAGCAUGAUUACAAAACCAAUGUAUGCCUCGUAUGCAUGCAGAAAAAAAGUAUAUCUUCAAUGAAGUAGCUAACUGUAUGAAGUAGCUACCUGUUUCGGUCGUGUAUAUUGGGUCAACAAUUGCAGCCACUGUUACGUUGCUUUGAUUAUAUUCUUCCAGAUUUGUCUCGUUCGUAGGGGCUGCGGAACAUUAAGCAUGAUGCAUGACAUUGUCAGAUAUGCACGUCAGGCAAUACCAGCCAGUUUAUUUCAUACAGUUAUAUACCAUGUUGCGUCGCGUAAAUAGCUUCAUGUUUCUCAUCAAAGGGUAUCAAGGUUGGACUGUAUUCUACAUUUUGUUCACUCGCUUGACCUGUACAUUAUUAUGCAAAAAGCUUGUUACUGUCAGAAAUGCAUGUAAAACUGGUGCAGUGCUUAAUACCUGUAGCUACGUCCUCUUCUUUUUGAUGUUCACCGGCUUUGCUUUUUGCAUUACCCAUUCGCAACUGGAAUGACCGCUACCUCCGUCUUGAGGCCUGGAAGACACAUAAAGGAAACCUGACUCGGAUGGAGAUAGUAGAUUCAAGAUGAAAGCAAGAGAGAUGGUGCAUGCACAAUAUGAAGCACAAGCUUUUGGAUGUCUUCAAGUGGUGAUUAGAGAUAAAGUACUUAUGGAAGCCAUGAAAUUUGCAUCUACUAUGUGAAAGCAUCUCUGUGAAAGCACUCGCAAGAGGAGUAAAAUGAUAACGCCAUGGCUGUAUGACAUGCGAUGGAUGUACGAGAUGUGAGAUGUGUGAGAUGCGAACAAUGAUCAAGUAUGUGACUGUUGUAUGAGAUGUGUGAGAUGUGAGAUGUAUGAGAUGUGUGAGAUGUAUGUGACUGCUGUAUAUAAUAAUACCUGUAGAUCGGAUCC